CCGGAAACCGCAGUUCAGCUCACAGACAAUCUCGGGCCGGCCAGUGACAGAGCGACUGCGAGCUGUGUCGGCCGCCCGGCGCCCCUGUUGCCAUGGCGCCCUGUGCGGCCGCACAGCUCGCACACCCCAAAGGCCGGCCCUGAACACAAUGUGCUGUAGUGGUAGGUGCCUGAUGUAGCUGUAUUUGCUUUAAGUGAUCAUUGUGCAGAAAAAGUAUUUUUAACAUCUUGGCAUUUUUGGAAAGCUGCAUUCCCAGAAAUGCCACCCAGCACAUAUGUUUCCUGUCAUAAAGAAUGAAAUACAUCCAAAGUACACAACAAGGGAAUAGCACACACAUGCAGUUUUAAAUCUUACAAGGCUACUUAAACUCUCUCUUAGCAAACAAAUAUAUCAUGUUCUUUAAAAUACUCAUAACCAGUAUCACUGAUCAUUAAAUGUGUUUAUUUAUCUAAUAAAACUGGUAUUUCUUCUUCUGUGCAAAUAUUUCAUUCGCUUUCUAAAAUAUAGAAGGAUAAAGGAUACCUUACAAUCUCUAAAACUCCCUUCCCCUCCUC